CCCUUCACUCCCGAGGCGUCUCGUUCUCAUCGCGAGAAGAGGCGCACCCAGAGCGUACACGCUGGGACCCGAAAGAUGGUGAACUAUGCCUGGUCAGGACGAAGUCAGGGGAAACCCUGAUGGAGGUCCGUAGCGAUUCUGACGUGCAAAUCGAUCGUCGGAACUGGGUAUAGGGGCGAAAGACUAAUCGAACCUUCUAGUAGCUGGUUCCCUCCGAAGUUUCCCUCAGGAUAGCUGGCGCUCGCCUUUGCGAGUCUCAUUCGGUAAAGCGAAUGAUUAGAGGCAUUGGGGUCGAAACGGCCUCAACCUAUUCUCAAACUUUAAAUGGGUGAGAUCUCCGGCUUGCUUAAAGCAUGAAGCCACGAGAGAUCGGAUCACAGAGUGCCAAGUGGGCCACUUUUGGUAAGCAGAACUGGCGCUGUGGGAUGAACCAAACGCAGAGUUAAAGCACCCAAAUCGACGCUUAUGGGAUACCAUGAAAGGCGUUGGAAA
rnacentral:rRNA from 1 species